GACGAACGCUGGCGGCGUGCUUAGCACAUGCAAGUCGAACGGAAAGGCCCUGCUUUUGUGGGGUGCUCGAGUGGCGAACGGGUGAGUAACACGUGAGUAACCUGCCCUUGACUUUGGGAUAACUUCAGGAAACUGGGGCUAAUACCGGAUAGGAGCUCUUGCUGCAUGGUGGGGGUUGGAAAGUUUCGGCGGUUGGGGAUGGACUCGCGGCUUAUCAGCUUGUUGGUGGGGUAGUGGCUUACCAAGGCUUUGACGGGUAGCCGGCCUGAGAGGGUGACCGGCCACAUUAGGACUGAGAUACGGCCCAGACUCCUACGGGAGGCAGCAGUGGAGAAUAUUACACAAUGGGCGGAAGCCUGAUGCGACAACGCCGCGUGCGGGAUGACGGCCUUCGGGUUGUAAACCGCUUUCGCCUGUGACGAAGCGUGAGUGACGGUAAUGGGUAAAGAAGCACCGGCUAACUACGUG
rnacentral:rRNA from 1 species